rnacentral:rRNA from 1 species
GACGAACGCUGGCGGCGUGCUUAACACAUGCGAGUCGUACGGUAAGGCCCUUUCGGGGGUACACGAGUGGCGAACGGGUGAGUAACACGUGAGUAACCUGCCCACAACUUUGGGAUAACGCUAGGAAACUGGUGCUAAUACUGGAUAUGUGCUCCUGCUGCAUGGUGGGGGUUGGAAAGCUCCGGCGGUUGUGGAUGGACUCGCGGCCUAUCAGCUUGUUGGUGGGGUAGUGGCCUACCAAGGCGGCGACGGGUAGCCGGCCUGAGAGGGUGACCGGCCACAUUGGGACUGAGGUACGGCCCAGACUCCUACGGGGGGCAGCAGGGGGGAAUAUUGCACAAGGGGCGCAAGCCGGAUGCAGCAACGCCGCGUGCGGGAUGACGGCCUUCGGGUUGUAAACCGCGUUCAGCAGGGACGAAGCUUUUUGUGACGGUACCUGCAGAAGAAGCACCGGCUAACUACGUG